UCUCUCUCUCUGUUACUGUCAACGGACCCUUUGCUGGCCUUCUGAUUGGUCUGCUAAACCCACCAACCGGAGGGCUCCUACCCAUGGUUACCGUUGCUAACGUACUUGGGGUUAGACAAGCAAAUCGAGUGGACAACCUCAGAUGCGUUCCGAUGUAAGUGACUCUGAGAGCGAAAACAGGAGGAACUGAGAUUGAAGGGGAAACGGUUAAAAGGUGUGCGUGGGGUACCUGUAACAGCGACUCGCGAUACCCAGAACGCAUCCUGGAGUUGUUUUUACUCCUUUCAUCAAACCCAGAACAAAUACUGAGAGACGUCGCCACUGGAUUCGGCUGUGUGGACGACCACACGGGCGGGUCAACCCUGCCACUGUCAGCAGAAAUACCUACAUAUGUUCAAAGUUCUGUCACCUACAAUGAUCUGCGGUGGCCUGGCGGCCUGUCCAGGGUGUCUCCCUGCCUGUCGCCCAGUGACUGCUGGGAUAGGCUCCAGCAUCCCCGCGACCCUGAGAGCAGGAUAAGCGGUUAAGAUAAUGGAUGGAUGGAUGGACCUACAAUGAUGAGUUGCGGUACUUCUUCCUGAGCAUGAAGCAGAAUAUGGAGACAUUACCCAGGUAGACACAACAGCAGCUUCUGAUAAAACGACUGUACUGAAGAACCUGCUGAGCAGAGGUAGGCUACCAGACCUCUCGCAUACAUGUCGUUAUGUUGCCUGCAGAGGAUGGUGAAAAGGUAAAUUGCACUAAAUGAAGACUUCAUCUUUG